AUCCUGGUGUUUCGCGCCUGCCUGCCAGAAUGACUCUUCGUGUAAAUGGUGUGUUUUGAACAUUCCAACAUAACUUGACAUAUCUUUAUUGAAAACCAUUACAGUUAACUGGUAGAUGGAUGGCGUAAUUUGCUGAGCAACCAUAUCUCUUACCUAAUGGGGCAGAGGGAGACAGGGCCGACGGAUGAGUAUUUAUAAGGUCUAGUUAGGCUUUGCUUACUUUAGAAAGCGCUAGUGUUAGUGGGUGCUGUGUUAGCAUCGGCGGCUAACAGUAUGUAUUUCUGUCCUGUCUAUCUCUCUUCAGGCCCAAGUGAAAAGCGAGCAGUCCGUUGCCACGGCACUGAGUGAAAGCCUUCUAAAGUUCUCUACUUCCCAAGGCGUUGGCCCAAAGCCAACUUUAACAUCAACAGCCUCAUUUUCAUGAUCUAAAAAAUAUUUUCCAAAUUCCCCAGUGAAAGGGCCACCUUUGAGGAGAUGGAGCAGGUUGCCAAGGUGAGAUGGUGAUUUGUAUCGCCGGAGCUCCACAGCCACCCAGCAAAUUGUUUUCAUUAGCUCAAUUAGCCCCUGGUUUUACCAAAUAUUUUUUUCUCUUUCUCUUAACCCUUGAAAAUAUUAUCUCUGUCACCCCUCUUAACCCCCCGGUCACAGGUAUGUGACCGCUGACCUGAGUGGAACCUGAGUUGAGAAAGAAACGUCAGCCAGGUUUUGUCAGAGAGUUCUUUGAGGGAAACACGGCAAUUAUCAGUGGGAGAUGGGCCAUUCACAAAGCCAGUCAUCCCGGGGAGCUCAACUGGACUCGCUGCUAUAUCACUCACAGCCCAGGGAAAUGCUGUGUCACAUUUUGACCAUGUUUAACAAUCUUCCUGGACUCCAUUAAGCUCUUUAGGUGGGAACAGAGCAAUGACUGACAGCUGUUUGUUUAAGAAAGAGAGAGAGAAAAAUAAUCUGAUUUAGCUCACCCUAUUGAAGGAUAAUGUAGAGCACUUAAGAGGGUAGCUGGACCAUAUUUUGUUUGACACAUUUCUAUUACAUGUGACCUGUCAAGGAUAGUAAAGUGAUCUGACACUUACCCCUUCUCAUCUCUCUUUCUCCAGGUGUGCGAGUGUCCUCUCUACUGGAAAGCUCCAUUGUUCAGUUCUGGAGGUGACAGGACUGGCUUCGUAUCCGUUAACAAGUUUGUGGCCAAGUGGAGAAAAACGUUGCAGACCUGUCACGGUGAUGUGUCUAAGUUUUUGGACUGCUUGGCCAAACCUGGCUGUAAUUUCCUGGAACAAGAGGACUUAAUUCCAUUCCAACAGGCUCUCUUAUCCUUCUCCCACCUUUCAUUCUCAUCAUACUGAAGACUCUGUGGGGUGAGCCAGGGCAGGGGAACUGGGCAGUCUUAUUGAUUACUGGAGAGGAGUAUUUCCAGACAACAUAUCUCCCCUACUGCUUCCCCUGCAUAGGAAGCAACUCUGGGAGAGGUCAGUUCCAAUAAAAGGUACCAUCAUACACCCCCACAGAAAACAAAUAGACUUUUCCCAUCAGUACUCUCACAUGAACCUUUUCUCAGCAGGAAAUAUAACCACAUUUAGAAAGGUCUAUGAGUAGCACAAUAAAGGAGGUAGGAUGCCAUAUAUGUACUUCAAACUUGUUACUGUACACCUACACAACCUGCGGACCCUCCUUCACUGCAGCCGACGUGAGUAAAACAUUUGAACGUGUUAACCCUCGCAAGGCUGCAGGCCCAGACAGCAUC